UACAGAGGGUGCAAGCGUUAAUCGGAAUUACUGGGCGUAAAGCGUGCGUAGACGGUUAUGUAAGUCGGGUGUGAAAGCCCCGGGCUCAACCUGGGAAUGCCAUUCGAGACUGCAUAGCUAGGGUGCGGAAGAGGGAAGCGGAAUUUCCGGUGUAGCGGUGAAAUGCGUAGAUAUCGGAAGGAACACCAGUGGCGAAAGCGGCUUCCUGGUCCAGCACCGACGUUCAGGCGCGAAAGCGUGGGGAGCAAACAGG
rnacentral:rRNA from 1 species